GGAGAAGCUGCUGCCUGCGAGUUUGCUGCAGACAGAGGAGAGCUUAAGUUUGACCAGCACAAAGAGGGAGAGAGAGGAACAGAGAGGAGAGAGAGAGAGCAGAGAGGGAGAUGGAGAAUGAGGACAGAACAGAGAUCGAACAAGAGCAGGCUGUGGCUCUGAUUAACACGUCGCUGGACAAUUGAGUAACACACACCUCCUGGACCCGUCUCGAACCCUGAACCCUGUGCCUGAGUGUUGCUUUGGUGUGUAUGAGGAGGAAUUCCUGUGAAGAGCAAGCGAGUUGGCAGUGGAGCGUGUGGAGCAAAGUGCGAGUGUGAAGAUCUCGUGUUUCCGAACCCCCGUGAAUCCC
ensembl:lncRNA